CAGAACCCCCAACCCACCCCCACCCCACCCCCCACCCGGCGACCCAGCGACCCAGCUCACCCAAAACCCAACCCCCACCUUUCUCUCAUCUGCAACCCCACCCACCCUUUUCUCCUCUCUACAACUCGCACUCACCUUUCUUUCCCAUCCGAAUCUGCUCGUCAACGAGUCCAUCGGCUCCGACAACGAGAAAUCAAAAGCUCACGCAGCGUAGCGUGGCCUCCUCACGGACUGUAUCCAUCAGCAUCAAGAGCAUUGACAUCAGAACCAUUGUUUAUCAAUGUAUAGACUAAAUCAACUUUCCCGUGUUGUGCUGCAUGACGUUCAUUUCAGCCCCAGCGUCGGUAAGCAAUUUGAAAGUUUCAAGUUUCUUCAAAGCAUCAACAUCGUUUGCUAGAGUCACAAGCAUUCGAGGAGAAAAUAUUGAAGUAUCGCUUGAUUGAACAGUUUCACCAGAUCGAAUCACGUCUACGACUGCUUGUCUGAAGUUAAGAGCCCAUCUUGCUGAGUCUACAAUGAAGCUUGCACUAUGACCAGUAGCAUUCACCAUGCCAAAAUCAGCACCGUCUGAAGCCAGGAUUUUAAUGCAUUCCUGGUGUUUAUAUCUAGCACAGAUCAUUAGUGCAGUUUCUCCAGAUUCUGUCUGAGAGUUGAUAUUGCACCCGGCACUAAUCAAUAGCAUCACUGUCACCAAACAAAAGUUAUAUGUUCAAGCAAUUAAAACACAGAGAUUUUGGUUAUGGUAACCUUGAUUGUACUUCACACCUAUUUAUGCUGUCCACAAUCAUGUUUUAGGCAAUGUAGACUCAAUUAAAAACAUAAAAACUUAAAAGUGCUUAUGAGCAGAGGUUAUUCCCUACAUAAGGACGAGCCCUAAUUGACACGUAAACCCUUUAUGGAUUUUUCGAUUAAUCAUUGAUUAAAAGUUACCUUGAUGAGAGUGUCAACUAAUCAACAAAGCCUCUGCAGGAAGUGGAAGCAAGAGCAUGCACAACAGACAAUCCUUGUCCAUGCACAACAGCCUGAGGGCAGAUCAUGUCGGAUCCCAUGAGCAUCUCGGAAGACCUAGCCCUGCCCAAGUAGCUUGCCUCCAACAAAGCCUCCUCACAUGCCUGCUGAGACGCGCCCCCAUUGAUGAGCACCUCCAAUAUCUCUAGAGUAAUGUUAGUGAGAUUGAAUUUGUAGACUAAAUUUGCAAUCUAAAUGAUGUGUCAUUAAUAUGAA